rnacentral:tRNA from 1 species
AGGGUGCGCUUGGAACAAAUAUCAAAGUAUAGCUAAGAAGUAUAGUAUCUCCCUUA